rnacentral:rRNA from 1 species
AAACCAACAGGGAUUACCUUAGUAACGGCGAGUGAAGCGGUAACAGCUCAAAUUUGAAAUCUGGCUCUUUCAGGGUCCGAGUUGUAAUUUGUAGAAGAUGCUUCNGGUGUGGUCCCGGUCUAAGUUCCUUGGAACAGGACGUCAUAGAGGGUGAGAAUCCCGUAUGUGACUGGGUCCCUUCGCUCAUGUGAAGCUCUUUCGACGAGUCGAGUUGUUUGGGAAUGCAGCUCUAAAUGGGUGGUAUAUUUCAUCUAAAGCUAAAUAUUGGCCAGAGACCGAUAGCGCACAAGUAGAGUGAUCGAAAGAUGAAAAGCACUUUGGAAAGAGAGUUAAACAGUACGUGAAAUUGUUGAAAGGGAAGCGCUUGCAACCAGACUUGCCCGCCGUCGAUCAGUCGGGGUUCUCCCCGGUGCACUCGGCGGCGUUCAGGCAGCAUCGGUUUCCGGGGUGGGAUAAAGGCCUUGGGAAUGUACCUUCUUUCGGGGAGUGUUAUAGCCCUCGGUGCAUGCCGCCUCUCGGGACCGAGGACCGCGCUUCGGCUAGGAUGCUGGCUAAUGGUUGUAAGCGAC